AUAUUUUCGAUAGAUUCAAACAAAUUUCGGAACAGUUUCCCAGGUGCUUUCGGUAUUCCUGUUCCGUGGACGUGAAUAUUUCCAUCUAAAACAGUUUCCUGCUUUCGGCGUCGUCGGCAAUCAAAAUUAAUGCAGAAAUCGAGAAUCCGCCCGACAGUCCGCAGGGCAUUCCGUUCUUCACCAAAUGCAUCGCCAGCGAGCAGCCCAUCCGGACUGGAUCCAUUCUUCCCUUCCCUUUGGAGGACACUGGUCUGAGGCAGCUGUGGUCCAGGUCUUCCCGAUCUACAGAGCCGCAGACAAUUGUCUUCCAUGGAACCUCUUGCCCUCCAGCCUUCAGGUCGUCUCCUCGUGGGUGGGGAUGAGCCUUGUUUCCAUCUGCCAGUCUCGGAAGUCACCUGUCCAGACCUGCUAGGAUUGAUCGCUGUGCCACCUCUAAGAAGAGCUGAUUCCGGCGGCUCCGAAAGCACAAAAAUGCUUUAAGUGAAAAUAGCCACGGCAUCGCGGGAAGCAACAGGAAGCCGAAACAUGCUGACAACUUGGCCAUUCCAUUUUCUUACAAUAAAAUCAAUCAGUGUGCUUAUA